rnacentral:rRNA from 1 species
UAAUGAGAGUUUGAUCCUGGCUCAGGACGAACGCUGGCGGCGUGCCUAAUACAUGCAAGUAGAACGCUGAAGAGAGGAGCUUGCUCUUCUUGGAUGAGUUGCGAACGGGUGAGUAACGCGUAGGUAACCUGCCUGGUAGCGGGGGAUAACUAUUGGAAACGAUAGCUAAUACCGCAUAACAAUGGAUGACACAUGUCAUUUAUUUGAAAGGAGCAAUUGCUCCACUACAAGAUGGACCUGCGUUGUAUUAGCUUGUUGGUGAGGUAACGGCUCACCAAGGCGACGACGGGUAGCCGGCCUGAGAGGGUGACCGGCCACAUUGGGACUGAGAUACGGCCCAGACUCCUACGGGAGGCAGCAGUGGGGAAUAUUGCACAAUGGGCGCAAGCCUGAUGCAGCGACGCCGCGUGAGGGAUGACGGCCUUCGGGUUGUAAACCUCUUUCAGUAGGGAAGAA